rnacentral:rRNA from 1 species
UAGUCAUAUGCUUGUCUCAAAGAUUUAACCAUGCAUGUCUAAGUAUAAACAAUUCUAUACUGUGAAACUGCGAAUGGCUCAUUAAAUCAGUUAUAGUUUAUUUGAUAAUAUCUACUACUCGGAUAACCGUGGUAAUUCUAGAGCUAAUACGUGCGUAAAAACCCGACUUACGAAGGGUUGUAUUUAUUAGAUACAAAACCAAUGCAGGGUAACCUGGUUUUUUGGUGAUUCAUAAUAACUUCUCGGAUCGCAUGGCUCACGCCGGCGACGUUUCAUUCAAAUUUCUGCCCUAUCAACUUUCGAUGGUAAGGUAUUGGCUUACCAUGGUUACAACGGGUGACGGAGAAUUAGGGUUCGAUUCCGGAGAGGGAGCCUGAGAAACGGCUACCACUUCUACGGAGGGCAGCAGGCGCGCAAAUUACCCAAUCCUGACUCAGGGAGGUAGUGACGAAUAAUAACGAUACGUGACUUCGGUCUAGUAAUUGGAAUGAGUACAAUUUAAACCCCUUAA